rnacentral:rRNA from 1 species
UACGGGGGAUGCAAGCGUUAUCCGGAUUUAUUGGGUUUAAAGGGUGCGCAGGCGGAAUGUCAAGUCAGCGGUAAAAUUUCGGGGCUCAACCCCGUCGUGCCGUUGAAACUGACACCCUUGAGUGAGUGAGAAGUAAGCGGAAUGCGUGGUGUAGCGGUGAAAUGCAUAGAUAUCACGCAGAACCCCGAUUGCGAAGGCAGCAUACCGGCGCCCGACUGACGCUGAGGCACGAAAGUGCGGGUAUCGAACAGG